rnacentral:rRNA from 1 species
GACGAACGCUGGCGGCGUGCUUAACACAUGCAAGUCGAACGAUGAAGGAGAGCUUGCUCUUCGGAUUAGUGGCGAACGGGUGAGUAACACGUGACUAACCUGCCCCUUUCUCUGGGAUAACGCUCCGAAAGGAGUGCUAAUACCGGAUACUCACAUCGAGGCACAUGCCUUGAUGUGGAAAGUUUUUCGGAAAGGGAUGGAGUCGCGGCCUAUCAGCUUGUUGGUGAGGUAACGGCUCACCAAGGCGACGACGGGUAGCCGGCCUGAGAGGGCGACCGGCCACACUGGAACUGAGACACGGCCCAGACCCCUACGGGAGGCAGCAGUGGGGAAUAUUGCACAAUGGGCGAAAGCCUGAUGCAGCGACGCCGCGUGAGGGAUGAAGGUCUUCGGAUUGUAAACCUCUUUCAGUAGGGACGAAGCGAAAGUGACGGUACCUAAAGAAGAAGCACCGGCUAACUACGUGCCAGCCGCCGCGGUAA